rnacentral:rRNA from 1 species
GACGAACGCUGGCGGCGUGCCUAACACAUGCAAGUCGAACGAAAAGGCCCUGCUCUUGUUCCUCUCUCGUUUGCCGCAGGGGUGUGUAUCACGCGUGUAUCAUGUCCUUGUCUUUCUGGUAUAUUCUCGAAACAGCGGCUCUUAUCGCAUAGGAUAUCUUGCACCAUGUUGUUCGUUAGAAAGUUUCGGCUGUUGGGGCUGGACUCGCGGGUUAUCCGCUUCAUGGUGGGGUAGUUGAGUACAAAGGUUACGAAGGCUAGGCGGCCUGAGAGGGUGACCGGCCACAUUGGGACUGAGAGACGGCCCAGACGCCUACGGGAGGCAGCAGGGGGGAACAUUGCACAAUGGGCGGGAGCCUGAUGCGGCAACGCCGCGAGCGGGAUGACGGCCUUCGGGGUGUAAACCGCUGUCGCCGGAGACGAAGAGUGAGUGACGGUAAUGGGUAAAGAAGCACCGGCUAACUACGUG